UGCCCGGUAGCACAGUGGUAGUGCAUCUGCUUGACAUAACUAGAUGAGCUUCGUUCAUGCAGAAGGUUCCCCGUUCGAUUCGGGGUCGGGCGA